rfam:Phanerochaete carnosa HHB-10118-sp unplaced genomic scaffold PHACAscaffold_5, whole genome shotgun sequence.
GGUCCCUUAGCUCAGUGGUAGAGCAUUGUACUUAUGUGGAUACCUCGGCGCCAGCCGCACACCUAAGAUUACGUGAGUAACGUGAUGCAAGGGCCCCGAGUUCGACCCUCGGAGGGACCA